GCUUCUGUAGCACAGUUGGUAGUGCACUUCACUCGUAAUGAAGGGGUCACCGGUUCGAGUCCGGUCAGGAGCU
rnacentral:tRNA from 2 species